rnacentral:rRNA from 1 species
UACGUAGGGUGCGAGCGUUAAUCGGAAUUACUGGGCGUAAAGCGUACGCAGGCGGUUUUGUAAGCCAGAUGUGAAAUCCCCGGGCUUAACCUGGGAACUGCAUUUGGGACUGCAAGGCUUGAGUGCGGCAGAGGAGACUGGAAUUCCUGGUGUAGCAGUGAAAUGCGUAGAUAUCAGGAGGAAUACCGAUGGCGAAGGCAGGUCUCUGGGCUGACACUGACGCUCAUGCACGAAAGCGUGGGGGAG